UUUGUCGCAGAGUUAACAAAAAUAUGACAUUAUGAGCCCUUUAAUUUUUGUAAUAUUCUCAACAGUACUUCUUCGUAUUAUUUUGAAUUCGAUGCAAAAUAUCUUCACAAGACAAUAGGAAACAGUAUUUUCACAGAACGACCUGUACCUUUUUGUAUGCAAAAAUUAGAAUAAGCACCAAUUUCUUUAAUAUCUUAAAAAUUCUUGCGACCACAAAUUAUUGGCAAAAGCUUGUUUGUACUCUAUUUUUAUAUUUGGAGCGUUUAUAAAUCUUUUACAUGCGAAUCUAACAAAAACUUUGUUUGCAAAAAUAUUUGCUUGCCAAUGUUUAUCUUUCUUCAGUUUUUUUUUUAGUUUUUUUCUUGCGACUCCUUGUGACAUUUCUAUUAGCAUAUUCAAGUGUUGCUAUGAAAAACACUUUAAAAUGUUGGUUAAGGUUUUGGUACAACAUAACGUCAAGUGGACGGAGUUGUAACUGCUUUUAGUAUUGAAAUUCAAUUUCCGGUUGAUCAAAUUUCCUUCGUAAUUUAAUUCUUCAUACUUUAAAUAUAUUCAUGUGUCAAACCAAACUUUUUAUAUGGAGGAAAGUGUUUUUUUUCGAAAGAAGAUGUGUGCACCAGUGAACUUUGCUCACUAGCACCUUGGUAAAAUGGAAUUAAUUAAAGUUAUUUUAUAUUCUAGCAUCAUCUCCGUCAAUAGGUCAGGAAGGCACUGCUUCAUCAAGGCAAAAUUCUGGCAUUAAGAGCUCAAAAAAGAAAAAACGAUCUGCACUAUUCGAUAGCCUGAGUGUCCACGAGAAUGUAGAAGGUAAACGGAAGCGAUGAUAUCAAAACUCUGGAUAUAUUCAGUAAUGUUAGUAAAUAUGAAAAAAAGAUUUGUACAUCAAUUUCUUAUUUUGCUUGAUUGUUAUAUUAAUAGCCUUUGGCUAUUCACAAUCUUCUUGCUUCAUGAAAUUUUUUGUUACAUUUAUUUAUUAUUUUAUUUUGUUUGUCGAAUUUCUGUUAUUUUUACUACUUGUAUAUAUAUGUACAAACGACAACAUUCAUUAAAAACGCAGAAAACAAAACGACUAUUGGUCGUGGUCAUGUGUGACCUUCUCCAUGGCCUACGUUCUGAUCUUGAAAACUAGUUAUGACACUUUUUUUCAGUUUUUUUAUGUUCUUGUGUGUAUAUUUAACGAGCCUUUAGGUUGCAAAAAUUUCUUAUGGCGUUGUUUAGCGAAUGAUCAGACAAUGAGAGUAAAAAUAUGAGCUUUUUGCACGCUUUAUAAGUAAGUAUUGCACAAGUUUCUUUAUAGAAAAACAAAACGUAGCAUAUUUCAUGUAGAAUAGCUAAUCAAGUUACUGAAAGUGAAGAUAAACGCGUGACAUAAAUGUGACCUUGUGUGAAGCAAAAAGAAGACAUUGCAUUAGGUUACGUCUGCAUUUUUUCAUAUCCAAGCAACAAAAGGAUUGACUUUUUAUCGAUUCAAUUUUCUACGAUGACGUUUUCAAAUAUUUUUUUAUCUUAUGUAAUUAAUGUAAUAAUUAUAUAUAGAACUUUGACCAAACAUGUCCGAAAUGGGAUGAUGUGGUAUGAAAGGAUUUUUGAUGUUAUUGAUGGUAGAGCAAAUUUUUAUUAGAAAGUAGAAAUAUUAUCACAAUGGGAAAUUUUGACCCACGAACAAUAGAAAAAUGCUGAUAAGUCCGCAUAAAUUUUUGACAGGAUAACCAUUUAUCAUACAUUUCUUAGAAUGUUGUUUGGAAUUCAUUUUCUUUUGCUUUUUUCUUUUUUCCUGUUUUUGCCUUCCGUCAACAAAGAGUGAAUGCACAUGCGCUUGUCUAGUACUUUUAAGCAUUAUUACACAUGGGACAUAAAACAUACAAUCCCUUUUGAAUUAAAUUUAAAUGAUUUAACACGAGUUGAUAAUAUAAAUUAAUUCCUUGAUACUAUAACAUUUGACCAUACGCAUGGAAAUGUGUGUUCAAACCGAUCUUUUGUUACUUUUAUUAAAGUGAUUGAGUCAGUACAUAUGGCAAUGUUUAUCCUCUGGUAAAAUUUAUGUUGGUUUAUCAGCACUUUCUCUACCACACUCGCUUGUGUAUGUAUGUUGGUUUAUUUUUGACAUUUAUAUUUAGAUCGUGUGAUCGUGAAAUUUGUUGUGCACUUCCUCAUAGUCAUUAGCGAAAUCUCUGUCGAGAACAUUAAUUACAAACCACAACAAAAUAACAUUUAAUGACAUUCAACAUUUUAACUAACGAGGUCCGGGAAAACAAAAAACUGACUACUACUGCGACUAAAUUCACGCCAACGAAUUAGCUAAAAUAACCUCCCGUAACCCUAACCAACCCUCGUUACAAAAGUGAGGUCUUGCUGUGGCUAUGACUAUCAUGUUUACAAUUGGGCUAUGACCCUCUUUUUUACCGUUGGUUGUUAACGCUUUUUUCUUGUUUUACCCCACAUGGGGCAGGUGUAAGCGCACUACAUUCCGACACUGUCGACUCUGUUCUUACUGUUGGUUUUAAAAUGCUCGUGGUUUUAUAAGAACGAAGAGAGUCCAAAAUGCGCAUGCGUUGUGUAUAAUACAACAUUACGUCAUGAUCGACACUCGACGUUUAAUUAAUUCUUCUGUUGAAAUUAUUUCGGAAAAAAAUUUAUCUGAGUGA